GAUGAACGCUGGCGGCGUGCCUAAUACAUGCAAGUCGAGCGAACGGAGGGGGAGUUUGCCCCUCUGCCGUUGGGGGCGGACGGGUGAUUACCAGGUGGUUACCUACCCUUUAGGACUGGGUUACCUUCGGGAACCCGGACAAAUUACCGGUUAUUAUAUUGAACGGCUGGGUUCAUUGGGAAAAACGGUUUUUGCUGUCCCUAAUAGAUGGUUCCGCGCCGCAUUAGCUAGUUGGUAAGGUAACGGCUUACCAAGGCGACGAUGCGUAGCCGACCUGAGAGGGUGAUCGGCCACACUGGAACUGAGACACGGUCCAGACUCCUACGGGAGGCAGCAGUAGGGAAUCUUCCGCAAUGGGCGAAAGCCUGACGGAGCAACGCCGCGUGAGUGAUGAAGGUCUUCGGAUCGUAAAACUCUGUUAUUAGGGAAGAACAAAUAUGUAAGUAACUAUGCACGUCUUGACGGUACCUAAUCAGAAAGCCACGGCUAACUACGUG
rnacentral:rRNA from 1 species